ACAUUCACUAUUUGUUCUCUCAUUACAGGCUUAUGAAAAAAUUGCUUACCUUCUCACCAACUUAGAAUAUCCUCGAACAGAAUCUGAGUGGGAAAACAGCUUUGCUCUGAAGAUGUUCCUCUUCCAGUUUGUUAAUUUAAAUAGUUCUAUCUUCUAUAUUGCUUUCUUUUUGGGGAGAUUUGUAGGCCACCCAGGAAAUUACAAUAAACUCUUUAACCGGUGGAGACUGGAG